UAGGGAAUCUUCGGCAAUGGGGGGAACCCUGACCGAGCAACGCCGCGUGAGUGAAGAAGGUUUUCGGAUCGUAAAGCUCUGUUGUUAAGGAAGAACGAGUGUGAGAAUGGAAAGUUCAUACUGUGACGGUACUUAACCAGAAAGGGACGGCUAACUACGUGCCAGCAGCCGCGGUAAUACGUAGGUCCCGAGCGUUGUCCGGAUUUAUUGGGCGUAAAGCGAGCGCAGGCGGUUAGAUAAGUCUGAAGUUAAAGGCAGUGGCUCAACCAUUGUAGGCUUUGGAAACUGUUUAACUUGAGUGCAGAAGGGGAGAGUGGAAUUCCAUGUGUAGCGGUGAAAUGCGUAGAUAUAUGGAGGAACACCGGUGGCGAAAGCGACUUUCUGGUCUGUAACUGACGCUGAUGUGCGAAAGCGUGGGGAUCAAACAGG
rnacentral:rRNA from 1 species